UACGGAGGGGGCUAGCGUUGUUCGGAAUUACUGGGCGUAAAGCGCACGUAGGCGGCUUUGUAAGUUAGAGGUGAAAGCCCGGGGCUCAACUCCGGAAUUGCCUUUAAGACUGCAUCGCUAGAAUUGUGGAGAGGUUGGUGGAAUUCUCGGUGUAGAGGUGAAAUUCGUAGAUAUCGAGAGGAACACCGGUGGCGAAGGCGGCCAACUGGACGAAGACUGACGCUGAGACACGAAAGCGUGGGGAGCAAACAGG
rnacentral:rRNA from 1 species